AGCGAACGCUGGCGGCAGGCUUAACACAUGCAAGUCGAGCGGGCACUUUCGGGUGUCAGCGGCGGACGGGUGAGUAACGCGUGGUAACGUUCCCUCUGGUUCGGAAUAACUCAGGGAAACUUGAGCUAAUACCGGAUACGCCCUUUUGGGGAAAGGCUUGCUGCCGGAGGAUCGGCCCGCGUCUGAUUAGCUAGUUGGUGAGGUAACGGCUCACCAAGGCGACGAUCAGUAGCUGGUCUGAGAGGAUGAUCAGCCACACUGGGACUGAGACACGGCCCAGACUCCUACGGGAGGCAGCAGUGGGGAAUAUUGGACAAUGGGCGCAAGCCUGAUCCUGCCAUGCCGCGUGAGUGAUGAAGGCCUUAGGGUUGUAAAGCUCUUUUAUCCGGGACGAUAAUGACGGUACCGGAGGAAUAAGCCCCGGCUAACUUCGUG
rnacentral:rRNA from 1 species